UACGUAGGGUCCGAGCGUUGUCCGGAAUUAUUGGGCGUAAAGGGCUCGUAGGCGGUUCGUCACGUCGGGAGUGAAAACUCGGGGCUUAACCCCGAGCCUGCUUCCGAUACGGGCAGACUAGAGGUAGGCAGGGGAGAGCGGAACCCCUGGUGUAGCGGUGGAAUGCGCAGAUAUCAGGAGGAACACCAAUAGCGAAGGCAGCUCGCUGGGACGUUACUGACACUGAGGCGCGAAAGCGUGGGGAGCGAACAGG
rnacentral:rRNA from 1 species